UGAAAUUGAACUCGCUGUGAAGAUGCAGUGUACCCGCGGCAAGACGGAAAGACCCCGUGAACCUUUACUAUAGCUUGACACUGAACCUUGAGCCUUGAUGUGUAGGAUAGGUGGGAGGCUUUGAAGUGUGGACGCCAGUCUGCAUGGAGCCGACCUUGAAAUACCACCCUUUAAUGUUUGAUGUUCUAACGUGGGCCCCUGAACGGGGUUGCGGACAGUGUCUGGUGGGUAGUUUGACUGGGGCGGUCUCCUCCCAAAGAGUAACGGAGGAGCACGAAGGUUAGCUAAUCCUGGUCGGACAUCAGGAGGUUAGUGCAAAGGCAUAAGCUAGCUUGACUGCGAGAGUGACGGCUCGAGCAGGUGCGAAAGCAGGUCUUAGUGAUCCGGUGGUUCUGAAUGGAAGGGCCAUCGCUCAACGGAUAAAAGGUACUCCGGGGAUAACAGGCUGAUACCGCCCAAGAGUUCAUAUCGACGGCGGUGUUUGGCACCUCGAUGUCGGCUCAUCACAUCCUGGGGCUGAAGUAGGUCCCAAGGGUACGGCUGUUCGCCGUUUAAAGUGGUACGCGAGCUGGGUUUAGAACGUCGUGAGACAGUUCGGUCCCUAUCUGCCGUGGGCGUUGGAAGAUUGAGGGGGGUUGCUCCUAGUACGAGAGGACCGGAGUGAACGCACCACUGGUGUUCGGGUUGUGAUGCCAAUUGCAUUGCCCGGUAGCUAAGUGCGGAAGAGAUAACCGCUGAAAGCAUCUAAGCGGGAAACUUGCCCCGAGAUGAGUCUUCCCUGGGACUUCGAGUCCCCUGAAGGGCCGUUGAAGACGACGACGUAGAUAGGCUGGGUGUGUAAGCGUAGCGAUACGUUGAGCUAACCAGUACUAAUGACCCGAGAGGCUUAACCUUACAACACCGAAGGUGUUUUAG
rnacentral:rRNA from 1 species